GAUGAACGCUAGCUACAGGCUUAACACAUGCAAGUCGAGGGGCAGCAUGAACUUAGCUUGCUAAGUUUGAUGGCGACCGGCGCACGGGUGAGUAACACGUAUCCAACCUUUCGUUUACUCAGGGAUAGCCUUUCGAAAGAAAGAUUAAUACCUGAUAGUAUGGUGAGAUUGCAUGAUAACACCAUUAAAGAUUUAUUGGUAAACGAUGGGGAUGCGUUCCAUUAGGUAGUAGGCGGGGUAACGGCCCACCUAGUCUUCGAUGGAUAGGGGUUCUGAGAGGAAGGUCCCCCACAUUGGAACUGAGACACGGUCCAAACUCCUACGGGAGGCAGCAGUGAGGAAUAUUGGUCAAUGGGCGAGAGCCUGAACCAGCCAAGUAGCGUGAGGGAUGAAGGCUC
rnacentral:rRNA from 1 species